rnacentral:rRNA from 1 species
UACGGAGGGUGCGAGCGUUGUCCGGAAUUACUGGGCGUAAAGCGCACGUAGGCGGCUUUGUAAGUUAGAGGUGAAAGCCCGGGGCUCAACCCCGGAAUUGCCUUUAAGACUGCAUCGCUUGAACGUCGGAGAGGUGAGUGGAAUUCCGAGUGUAGAGGUGAAAUUCGUAGAUAUUCGGAAGAACACCAGUGGCGAAGGCGGCUCACUGGACGACUGUUGACGCUGAGGUGCGAAAGCGUGGGGAGCAAACAGG